UGGGGUGCGCCCAGCAGUGCAAGUUAAACCCUGUACUGGGCACAGUCAUUGAUAGAUUGUUAAAUGUAUUCUGAUUGCUUCCUCUGUAUUAAUACAGCCUGAUGAUGGGCUUCACGGGGAUGACAGCUUUCCUCUCCAUCUGGAUCAGUAACACGAGUACUACGGCCAUGAUAGUCCCCAUAGUGCAGGCUGUGCUGGAACAGCUGAACAAACAGGAGACCGAGUCGUCAGGGCCCGGGGUCUUGUGCAGCGCCCCUGGGUUCAGUGAAGCUGUUGAUGUGAGAGUGGGAAAAGCCAUGUGAGCAGGAGAUGUCGCUCGGACCAAGCUCUCUGCCAAACUCCCUGAUUUGUGCAGUGACUGUUGCAUUAGUUUUGCCAAUUCUCAUUGGUUCUUCAAAGGAUGUAAUUUCUUAUAUCUUCACAAAUGACAAAGACAUCAGAAUGAGGGUUGCCACGGUAAUGGUUUUAUUCGCUCCUUUCCAUCUUGAUGCCACAGCGGUAAAUCAUUAGCAGAGUUGUGUUAGAGCACUCGCAGCACUCAUUAGUGUUAAUAACAAAACUGACAACACCAACACAUCGAUCAGGAAAGUGGAGUUCAAAGCUUGAUUAUAUUGGAUGUUAUCAUCUGAAA